AACGAACGCUGGCGGCAGGCUUAACACAUGCAAGUCGAGCGCCCCGCAAGGGGAGCGGCAGACGGGUGAGUAACGCGUGGGAAUCUACCCAUCUCUACGGAAUAACUCAGGGAAACUUGUGCUAAUACCGUAUACGCCCUUCGGGGGAAAGAUUUAUCGGAGAUGGAUGAGCCCGCGUUGGAUUAGCUAGUUGGUGGGGUAAAGGCCUACCAAGGCGACGAUCCAUAGCUGGUCUGAGAGGAUGAUCAGCCACACUGGGACUGAGACACGGCCCAG
rnacentral:rRNA from 1 species